AGAGUUUUAGACUUAAAUAGUUUUCUUCUACUGUAGCCAGAAGAUCCUCUUCCGAUAUGAAGACAAUUGCGAGUGGAGAUUGCUUCGGAUCCGCGCUUCAAUAUAUUUAUCAAUGAGCAUUCCCUUUACUCUUCUACUUUAUUCUUUUAUUUUUAUUUCAUUAGCCUGAUCAACUAAUGUUUGUAUGAAUUUUAGAAUAAUUAUUGUGCUUUAUUUAUAUCUUGCAUGAUUUGUUUAUUUAACUGAUUAAUUCAUCAAGUUGAUUAAUUAACAAAAUAAUAAGGAUUCAUAAUAGGGUUAGUUGGUAUAGAUACACAUUAUAAAACUCUAGGUGUGACAACCCUAAGAAAUUAUCAUAGGGGAGACGAGAUUGGAAGAUAAGUCGAAUCGAGUAAAUCGUAGUCUAUCUUGAUUGAGAAAGUGAGAUUGGGAGGUAAUAUUAGUUAAUUAAUAGCUAAUUCAUAUUAAAACCCAAAUUUUAAAAUUAGUUAAUAUUCUAUUUAUUAAUUAGGGAUUUAAUUAAUCAUAGGCUAGAGGCUUGCAUUGUAAACACUAGGAAUAAGAAAGUCUAUUAGGUUAAUAUGAAUUUAAUAAUUUAAUUAGUUUAAUAAAUCUAUUAUUUUGGACUUACACUACUAAUUCAUGACCGAAUUAGAUUAGUUAUUAUUUUAUGUAAUUAAUUUAAUAAAUAAAUUUUCCAAUCUUCAAUUCCUUGGGUAUGGUACUCGAAAUACUUACCAAUGUUUCUUUGUAAACUUUACUAUAUUACAAUUUGAUUCGUACACUUGUGGACACUGCCGAUUUAAUUAUAUAUAUUUUGGGUGUGAUAUUUUUAUUAUAAAUGAUAAUAUGUUUAUAGGCAGUCAAGUUGUUACCGCCAUUGUCGGGGAUUGCAACGUUGAAAUUUUUAUUAAAUUGAUUACUAUAAAGUAAUAGUAGUCAAAAGAAAAACGAGUUAUAUAGUGUUUUAACUUUUAUUUAACUAUUUAUAUUUUAUAUUUUUAGUGUGGAAAAAAUAUAAAAAAUUAUUAUUAAAGGAAAAAUUAAUAUUUUUGCA
rnacentral:lncRNA from 1 species